GACGUAGGGCGCGAGCGUUGUCCGGAUUUAUUGGGCGUAAAGAGAUCGUAGGCGGCUUGUCGCGUCGACUGUGAAAUUCCGAGGCUCAACUUCGGGCUUGCAGUCGAUACGGGCAGGCUAGAGUUCGGUAGGGGAGACUGGAAUUCCCGGUGUAGCGGUGAAAUGCGCAGAUAUCAGGAGGAACACCGAUGGCGAAGGCAGGUCUCUGGGCCGAUACUGACGCUGAGGAGCGAAAGCGUGGGGAGCGAACAGG
rnacentral:rRNA from 1 species